GAUGAACGCUGGCGGCGUGCCUAAUACAUGCAAGUCGAGCGAACGGACGAGAAGCUUGCUUCUCUGAUGUUAGCGGCGGACGGGUGAGUAACACGUGGAUAACCUACCUAUAAGACUGGGAUAACUUUGGGAAACCGGAGCUAAUACCGGAUAAUAUUUUGAACCGCAUGGUUCAAAAGUGAAAGACGGUCUUGCUGUCACUUAUAGAUGGAUCCGCGCUGCAUUAGCUAGUUGGUAAGGUAACGGCUUACCAAGGCAACGAUGCAUAGCCGACCUGAGAGGGUGAUCGGCCACACUGGAACUGAGACACGGUCCAGACUCCUACGGGAGGCAGCAGUAGGGAAUCUUCCGCAAUGGGCGAAAGCCUGACGGAGCAACGCCGCGUGAGUGAUGAAGGUCUUCGGAUCGUAAAACUCUGUCAUUAGGGAAGAACAUAUGUGUAAGUAACUGUGCGCAUCUUGACGGUACCUAAUCAGAAAGCCACGGCUAACUACGUG
rnacentral:rRNA from 1 species